UACGUAGGGGGCGAGCGUUGUCCGGAUUUAUUGGGCGUAAAGAGCUCGUAGGCGGCCUGGCAAGUCGGGUGUGAAACCUCCAGGCUCAACCUGGAGACGCCACUCGAUACUGCUAUGGCUAGAGUCCGGUAGGGGACCACGGAAUUCCUGGUGUAGCGGUGAAAUGCGCAGAUAUCAGGAGGAACACCGGUGGCGAAGGCGGUGGUCUGGGCCGGCACUGACGCUGAGGAGCGAAAGCGUGGGUAGCAAACAGG
rnacentral:rRNA from 1 species